rfam:Ixodes scapularis strain Wikel colony gcontig_1108379295338, whole genome shotgun sequence.
GUAGUCGUGGCCGAGUGGUUAAAGCGAUGGACUAGAAGUCCAUUGGGGUUUCCCCGCAGAGGUUCGAAUCCUGUCGACCGCG